UACGAAGGGGACUAGCGUUGUUCGGAAUUACUGGGCGUAAAGCGCGCGUAGGCGGAUCGCUAAGUCAGGGGUGAAAUCCCAAGGCUCAACCUUGGAACUGCCUUUGAUACUGACGAUCUGGAGAUUGGGAGAGGUGAGUGGAAUUCCGAGUGUAGAGGUGAAAUUCGUAGAUAUUCGGAGGAACACCAGAAGCGAAGGCGGCUCACUGGCCCAAUACUGACGCUGAGGCGCGAAAGCGUGGGGAGCAAAC
rnacentral:rRNA from 1 species